rnacentral:rRNA from 1 species
UACGGGGGGAGCAAGCGUUGUUCGGAUUUACUGGGCGUAAAGGGCGCGUAGGCGGCCACCGCAAGUCGGUUGUGAAAUCUCUGGGCUUAACCCAGAAAGGUCAACCGAUACUGCGGGGCUAGAGUGCAGAAGGGGCAACUGGAAUUCUCAGUGUAGCGGUGAAAUGCGUAGAUAUCGAGAGGAACACCUGCGGCGAAGGCGGGUUGCUGGGCUGACACUGACGCUGAUGCGCGAAAGCUAGGGGAGCGAACGGG